AGAGUUUGAUCCUGGCUCAGGAUGAACGCUAGCGGGAGGCUUAACACAUGCAAGUCGAACGGUAAGGUCCAGCUUGCUGGAUACACGAGUGGCGAACGGGUGAGUAACACGUACGCAACAUACCUUCAACAGGGGGAUAGCCCAGAGAAAUUUGGAUUAAUACCCUAUAUAAUCCCGAAACCGCAUGGUUUUGGGAUUAAAACUCCGGUGGUUAGGGAUGAGCGUGCGUCCUAUUAGCUAGUUGGUGUAGUAACGGUGCACCAAGGCAACGAUAGGUAGCUGGCGUGAGAGCGCGAUCAGCCACACGGGCACUGAGACACGGGCCCGACUCCUACGGGAGGCAGCAGUAGGGAAUAUUGGUCAAUGGACGAAAGUCUGAACCAGCCAUCCCGCGUGCAGGAUGACAGCCCUAUGGGUUGUAAACUGCUUUUAUCAGGGAAGAAACCCCCCGAUUCAUCGGGGGCUGACGGUACCUGAGGAAUAAGCACCGGCUAACUCCGUGCCAGCAGCCGCGGUAAUACGGAGGGUGCAAGCGUUAUCCGGAUUUACUGGGUUUAAAGGGUGCGUAGGCGGAUUUGUAAGUCAGUGGUGAAAGCCUGGAGCUCAACUCUGGAACUGCCAUUGAUACUGCAAACCUUGAGUACAGUUGAGGUGGGCGGAAUGCAGCAUGUAGCGGUGAAAUGCUUAGAUAUGCUGCAGAACACCAAUUGCGAAGGCAGCUCGCUAAACUGUAACUGACGCUGAGGCACGAAAGCGUGGGUAGCGAACAGGAUUAGAUACCCUGGUAGUCCACGCCCUAAACGAUGAUCACUCGACAUAUGCGAUAUACUGUAUGUGUCCAAGCGAAAGCGUUAAGUGAUCCACCUGGGGAGUACGUUCGCAAGAAUGAAACUCAAAGGAAUUGACGGGGGUCCGCACAAGCGGAGGAGCAUGUGGUUUAAUUCGAUGAUACGCGAGGAACCUUACCUGGGCUAGAAUGCUUUUGGACCGUCCCGGAAACGGGACUUUCUCUUCGGAGACCGAUUGCAAGGUGCUGCAUGGUUGUCGUCAGCUCGUGCCGUGAGGUGUUGGGUUAAGUCCCGCAACGAGCGCAACCCCUAUCCUUAGUUGCCAUCAGGUAAUGCUGGGGACUCUAGGGAGACUGCCCGCGUAAGCGGUGAGGGAGGAGGGGAUGACGUCAAAUCAUCAUGGCCUUUAUGCCCAGGGCUACACACGUGCUACAAUGGUCGGUACAGAGGGUCGCGAAGCCGCAAGGUGAAGCCAAUCCCAGAAAGCCGAUCUCAGUUCGGAUUGGAGUCUGGAACUCGACUCCAUGAAGGUGGAAUCGCUAGUAAUCGCGCAUCAGCCACGGCGCGGUGAAUACGUUCCCGGACCUUGUACACACCGCCCGU
rnacentral:rRNA from 1 species